GUCUACGGCCAUACCACCCUUAACGCACUGAUCUUGUCUGAUCUCGGAAGCUAAGCAGGGUUGGGCCUGGUUAGUACUAGGAUGGGAAAUGUGGAUAAAUGAGAAGCAGCUUUAGGAA
ensembl:rRNA 5S_rRNA 5S ribosomal RNA